rnacentral:rRNA from 1 species
CAGGAAGGAUGGGUCAAGGACAGGUCAGUGAUGCCCUUAGAUGGUCCGGGCUGCACGCGCACUACAGUGGUCGCCGAAAUUACCUGAUAAUUUUAAAGGCGAUCGAGAGGGAAUGAGCUUUGUAAGAGGCUCAGGAACGAGGAAUUGCUAGUAAUCGCGGACUCAUUAAGACGCGAUGAAUACGUCCCUGUUCUUUGUACACACCGCCCGUCGUUAUCGAAGAUGAAGACAGGCGCGAACGAUCUUACCAGAAAGUGAGCGCAGGUCUUUAGAUCUGAUACAAGUCGUAACAAGGUAGCUGUAGGAGAACCUGUAGCUGG